CCAUACAGUUGCUUUAGAACAUUGCAGCUUUCUUGGCACUGAGACUUUUUUUCCAGAACUUUGUUGAUGCUAAUAAGGCUAAUAUUAUUCGUGGCUGUGUUAGGCAAAAUAUCACCAGUAGCACUGACAGGUGACUUUCUGGUUGCCCAGAAAGAUGCUCGGCUAUGGUCUGUGUUCGUUGCCUCUGUUCCUGCCACUGGGUACCACUGACAGGAUGUGCUCCUUCCUCUUUGCACAAAUACUCGAGGAAACUACAGCUGGAGCCUGAGUCAGCUUUCAUAGGCACAAGUUCUCCUUUGACAGAAUGUGACUUCUUCAUGUUUACUAAGUGUAUUAAGUUGAAAGGUCCUGAAUGUAUAUUACUUCCUGAAGCAUAGCCUGCCUUGCUAAACUAGCACUCAGUAUCUCUGUCACAACUCACUUUGAUACCCGUCAGCACUGGCAGUUUCUAAUUGUAGCUUUUUAACUUCUUCUGCAUAGAAUUUAAAACUUGCCUUCCAACACAGAUUUUUUUCUUCUGAAACGUGUGCUGUCCAAGAGCUCACAGUGAUUUCUACAGCUUUGUGUUAUGCUGCCAUAACUGGGUUGACACAGUGCCUUCAUGCAGUUGUGAUCCCUGGUAAAGUUUCGUUCUCACUCUUUUCAUCCAAAUUGUUUAUUUUUGGGAAUUUCCUGCUCAAGUGAUCAAGAGCUUUGAUAUUCUCAAAAUAGCGUUGUUUUUUUUCCCCCCACUUGUUUAAACUGCACAUGGUAAUGGGAAGAGAGCAUGGCCAAAGCUAGGAAAAAUAUUUUUAGCAAAAUGAAAUUAGUUGAAGAGUUGUUCUGUAAUUUUUUAGGGGGAGUGUUUUGUCUUCCAUCCUUUCCUUGGGGCAGGAUCAGGGCCAGCAUCUAUUGCAAAUGCAGCCACUUCACAGAGCACCAUGGUUGGGCACCUGCUUCCUUUCAUCCCAGAAAAGAAGUUCCAGCUUUGAUCCUGAAGAGACUCAUGUUGGUUCAGCUAUGGGAAUACGGGUCUGUGUUUGCUUUAUGGAAGGGUGUUUGUUUUAAUGUUCCCUUUCAAAGUCAGGAAAACAAAUCCAAAUGAAAGAGCAGAGAAAGAGGCUUGCUUGGAUUAUUGUGCGUGCAUUUGUGUGACUGCACUUAGCAUUCUGCUGCUUUUACUCUUUGCUGUUAAAUUCAUGUGAUGACCUUUAGAUGUUGAAUAUUUCUAUAUUCUGCUUUUGCUCAGGUAUUCACUUAGUCUGCACAGGUUGUGGGGGGGGUGUUGGUUCCAAGGUUCUGCCCUGCUUGCCAUGCAGGAAGGAGGAUGAGGCUCUGAAAAAGAUAGUGCUUCAUUAUGAAUGGUGGAUUGGGAAGAAAGCUUUGGCACCAAGCAAAGUAUUUUUAAUAUCAGGUGCAGUACAAGGAUGAUUUUUCUAACUUUCUCAGUUUCUGGGGCCACAGAUAUCUUGAUCCUUUAUUUCUCUCUGUAUUUGCUGUUGAUAAUUAUACACAGUUUAUAUCAGCAUACGUCUUGCUCUCAAUGUAUCCAAGAAAAUCAAAAAGCUGCUUAUAUAGUCAAGUAAGUAUGCAUAUAUUUGUGAAAAUGAGGUUUAAAUUAUCACCUUAAGAUUUUUAUUGUGUGUUUAAAAGAAAUUUACUGUAGAAUUAUUUAUGAUUAACCCAGUUAUGCUGGAUUGGGCUAUGACUGCCUCUAUAUACCUGCGAAGCUGCUCUGCCGUUCCUCUACUUGCGCAUCAGUAUGAGUCCCCUAGAUGGCAGGAGAGGAUCGGUAUAACCACGCCAAACCGUUGCUAGUUCGGUGCGUUUCAGUGUGGGCAUGAAGGAUUUUGACGGUUCCUUGUCAGAACGGAGUUGUUGUGUAACAGCUCAGUCGUGGGAACCGUGCUUAGCUACAGAGGAGAGGAAAGUUGAAUCACUUCAGUUGCGAAGCUUUCCGUGAGUUCUGAAGGGUUUUGAAUCUCAGUUCUGUGGCUUAAAGCCAUUUUGUCUCUCAUCUACUGUUUAAAAACACUGCAUUCUUGACAUUUUCUUGUGCUUCCAUCUGAGAAUGAAGACAUU
ensembl:lncRNA